GACGAACGCUGGCGGCGUGCUUAACACAUGCAAGUCGAACGGAAAGGCCCUGCUUGCAGGGUACUCGAGUGGCGAACGGGUGAGUAACACGUGGGUGAUUUGCCCUGCACUUCGGGAUAAGUCUGUGAAACUGGGUGUAAUACCGGCCAGGAGCCAUAUUUAGUGUGAUGGUUGGAAAGUUUUUUCGGUGUUGGAUGAGCUGUCUGCCUAUCGGCUUGUUGGGGGGGUAAUGGGCUACCAAGGCGGCGGCGCGUAGCCGGACUGAGGGGGUGGACGGCCACAUUGGGACUUACGGAAGGCCCAAGUACCUACGGGUGGGAACAGUGGGGAAUAUUGACGGAGGGGCGCCGGCCUGAUGCAGAAGGGCCGCGUGGGGGAUAACGGCCUUCGGGUUGUAAACUCCUUUCGCUAGGAACGAAGCUUUUUGUGACGGUACCUAGAUAAGAAGCACCGGCUAACUACGUG
rnacentral:rRNA from 1 species